GCCUCAAAAUUUCAGAAAAUUCAAAGUUCCCUCUUUUAUGCAAUUAGCGCCUCUUGUACGCUGCCAAUUAGCGCCUCAUGUAGUUUCUCCUUCGCAUAGUUCCAGAUUUCAUGAAGUUUCUAGCUUUAUUCUCCGUUUCUUGGAUCUCAAACAUUUUUCUUGAUUCAUCUACCUUGGCGACCGAAUGUCGAUGCCUUUCUUGGAUCUCCUUAAUUCCGUGGAAAUUACUCAUGACCUUUAAUUUGGGUCUCCAUCAUAGGAAACCUAGGUCGCGAGUCCAUGUUUAGGCCAUCUUUAAUUUGUUCUCCCAAAUGCUUUAUUUUAUUUUUUUAAGCGAUCUCAUGAAUAAGUUGUUCUGUUCGUUGUUGGAGGACUUGGUGGCCGGUGACGAGAAGUGACGGUGGAGUUGAUGACUAUAGCGCUUGCUUUCUCACCAAAUUGCAAGGUGCUGAAUGAUCUUUUGCCCUCUCUCUCUCUCUCUCUCUCUCUCUCUCUCUCUCAAAGUAACACAUCUUUCUUAGCUGUAUAUUUGAGUUUAUUUGGUUAUUUUGAUGCAUGUUUUAUUCGAAUUCAUGUAAGUCGAGGGAACGGGUGGCCGUUGAAGCCAUCAUCGUAUGAAGGUAGGAUUUCCCAUCUCAUCCUGAUUCCAACAGAUUUUAAUUUCUCUCUAUUUUUCACUGCUGUGAUUUUCUUUUGGAGAAUUGGGUGGUAUCAUCUUCGAGUUCACGUUGCAUGCUUACAGAUUUGGACUCUCAUUUAAUCAGCUUUUUGAGAAGGAGUGCUGGAAAUGGAAAACACAGACAUAGAGCAGGAAACAGAGUCUGCGAUAGUUAUUAAUGGGUAGCAUCUGCAUUAUUUUAAUUUAAACCUUUGUAUCCGUUCUGAGCUUCCCUGCAGCAGUACUCACAUCCCUUUUCAUUCUUUUUCUACUCCAUCAAACUUGUAGUGUUUAGUAUAUUAAUGGUUGUAUCCAAAACAUAGACUAUCCAUUUCGAUUAAUGGAGGAUCCACCAAACUGCGACGACCCAUCAUGUAAUAUUGUUAUUCAUGUCAUACUUCGAAUAAAAGAAAUUACAACUUGAUAUUGUUAUUCUGACUGAAAAUAUUAUGGGGAAAAUAAUGUUUCUUUUACGUUGGUUGUAAAACUGAAAAUGAUAAGAACUAAGCUACUUAACUAGACGACGUUGUUGUAUUUUGAUGCUGAGGAGCUAAUGUUAAUUCCUUUAAUUUGCAGCAAAAUCGUAGCUCUUGGCUUUGAUGAAAAAUUUAUAAGGACAUGGAAAUAUUACUUUGAAUAUUGUCCAGCUGGUUUUAAGUCUUGUACACUCGGAGUCUAUCAGGUAUUUAGAGAGAUCAUUUCUCGGCUUCUAUCCCUGGUAAUUUAAGUUGGUUGCAUCCAUUUUUUUACUCACCAUAUUUCCCAUUACUAAUUACUAUGGUUUUCUUGAGCUGUGAAAAGCAAGUGAAUACAUCCUUUUAUUGGAACGAUUCAACUUAUUGCUUUAAGACCGAAGUAUAUUCUUCCAACUCUUCAUCGUCUUCCCAUGAUAUGCAUAGAUAUGUUAAAUAUCUAGAUAGACCUCCAUAUCCAGGGCAGGUGGAGGAAUCUUGUCAAAUAGAGCAAAUAUCCCUAAUAUCGAGGGAAGGCUGUCAAUAUAUCCAAAAACUGCUUCCCGCGAAGAGAUUCGAAACGAAUUGUUAUGCGGUUUUAAGUUUAAUUGGCUACAUGUUUCUUGUCAAUGCGAGGGACCCAACAAUUGCUACCUCGAUGACGUGAAUAAAAUUUAAUGUGAUAAUGGUAUGUACGUACACAGAAGAAUGCAUGCUUGAAAAAUAUGCAACACUUUCAAGUAGUAGUUGAGAUCUUGAUUCUUCAAAGGACUGGCAGACAUAUACAAAGGGUUGGUGGACGUAUAUAAUGUAUUCAAAAUUCCAAAUCCAUGAUGGGUGCACUUUGAGAAAUUCUUAUGUCAUGCCUUCUCACCUUCCAGGUGGUGGAGUUAUUGGAUCAAUCUUGGUGGUCGUUUGCUUGUUUUGGGUUGGUCUGGUAGAAGAAGAACUACCCAUGAAAGAAAUGGUCGGAAAACUAACGACAAACACAAUGUAAAGUAAAAUAAUUAUCCAUGAAGAAGAGCUUUCAUGUAAUGUGAUUUGUGUUACUUUUUUAUUAUUAUUAUAUGAAUAAUGAUUCAUUAUAUCAUAUUUAUUAUUAAUUUAUUUAUUAUAUAUUUUUAUUAUGGUAUAUCA